rnacentral:lncRNA from 1 species
CGCGCGCGCCUCUGCAUACCCAUCUGUCUCGCUUCCGCUCGUUCUCCCUCGCUCCCGCGUAUCUCGAUGCACAGGAUACACAGGAUAUACGGGAUCGCCGCCGUUGCUGCGGCGCGCGCGCUACGUUGUUCCGCGUACAGUCCUGCGUUAUAACGGAGAUCACGUCACCGGAGAGCGGCGCGUGUUCUGCACGCACGGCACCGACGGGCCCGUCCAUGCGGAGAGAAUCUGAUCUCGUCGUGGAUUCCAUUUCACAUUCGAAGUUCAGCGUUCGGUGCAAACGAUGAUAAAGAAUGCGAUCACGAGAAUCCACGUGCACAGAGAGCGGCAGGUCGGCGAGGAUAAUUCAGGAUCGAUAGGAUAUUCGUAGAAGUUUAUAAAAUAAUACUCCGUCGAACUCAAAACAAAGAACAGACACGGGAUAUAGUUAUUUUGAGAAAAGUGGAAUCGCAUUAUGAGAUUUCAGAAAAAAACUAGAAUUACCUGUUUCUCUAUUUAUUUCAGUGAUACGCAAUGUAUUCGCAAGAAUGAUAAGAGCAUUAAAUCGAGGAAUAAAAGAUAUUGUGGAUAAAAUAUUCCGGAAUAUCUACCUGGAACGGCAAGCAUAUGAUACAAGUGACUUUAUUGGUCCUAUAAAGUAAUUUAUAAGGGAAAGAUAUAUUGCACGAGAAAGAAAGAUGGUAAAAAGGAAAAACGAGUAAAGCUGCUCCAAUUCGAAACGAAUAAGAUAAAGAAAAGAGGUAAGUUGGCGGGAUUUAAUUCGCCACUGAUCCUGGAUGAAUAAAGGUCUAAUCAAAGCUGAACGAGGGAGCAGGCAUGCGCGUAAAAGUAGAAGAGAACGACCUCGUCAACGUUUUCGCAGUAAAAGUAAAUCAACCGUGACUCGACGACUCGAAAAGCUUCCCGGGCACAAGUAUCGACUACACCUUGCCCUCCUUCAAUAAAAUAAGCGAACUUCGAUUAUAUAAAUCACGUUCCAUGAUUACGAAACCGCAACACGGUCAUUAUUUCCUUUCAAUGUAUAUU